CCCUAUGGGGUGCACCAGGCCACGGUAAGGUCAGCGACUGGGGUGAAGUCGUAACAAGGUAGCCGUAGGGGAACCUGCGGCUGGAUCACCUCCUUUCAAGGACACCUGGGGAAGCUUGCUUUCCUGGGUCCUUCAGACGACGUGAGUGACUGGCACUGGGGCGGUUUGGGCCGCCGCCGGCGUAUCCCUUCGCGGCGAUGACUGGGGAGUUCCGGGUGUUGAUCCUGGGGUUUUCCGGGAGCCCGGGCUCGUAGCCCGGGUGGUUAGAGCGCACGCCUG
rnacentral:rRNA from 1 species